UACGUAGGGGGCAAGCGUUGUCCGGAAUGAUUGGGCGUAAAGGGCGCGUAGGCGGCACGGCAAGUCCGGAGUGAAAGUCCAGCUUUUAAGGUUGGAAUUGCUUUGGAAACUGCCGAGCUAGAGUGCAGGAGAGGUAAGCGGAAUUCCCGGUGUAGCGGUGAAAUGCGUAGAGAUCGGGAGGAACACCAGUGGCGAAGGCGGCUUACUGGACUGUAACUGACGCUGAGGCGCGAAAGUGUGGGGAGCAAACAGGAUUAGAUACCCUGGUAGUCCACACUGUAAACGAUGAAUGCUAGGUGUAGGGGGUAUCGACCCCUUCUGUGCCGGAGUCAACACAAUAAGCAUUCCGCCUGGGGAGUACGGCCGCAAGGUUGAA
rnacentral:rRNA from 1 species